ACUCCUACGGGAGGCAGCAGUGGGAAGUAUUGCACAAUGGCGGCAAGCCGCAUGCAGCCAUGCCGCGUGUGUGAAGAAGGCCUCGGUUGUAAAGCACUUUCAGUCGUGAGGAAGGUAGUGUAGUAAUAGCUGCAUUAUUUGACGUUAGCGACAGAAGAAGCACCGGCUAACUCCGUGCCAGCAGCCGCGGUAAUACGGAGGGUGCGAGCGUUAAUCGGAAUUACUGGGCGUAAAGCGCAUGCAGGUGGUUUGUUAAGUCAGAUGUGAAAG
rnacentral:rRNA from 1 species